rnacentral:rRNA from 1 species
UACGUAGGGGGCGAGCGUUGUCCGGAUUUAUUGGGCGUAAAGAGCGUGUAGGCGGCCAGGUAGGUCUGCUGUGAAAACUCGAGGCUCAACCUGGAGACGUCGGCGGAAACCAUCUGGCUAGAGUCCGGAAGAGGAGAGUGGAAUUCCUGGUGUAGCGGUGAAAUGCGCAGAUAUCAGGAAGAACACCCGUGGCGAAGGCGGCUCUCUGGGACGGUACUGACGCUGAGACGCGAAAGCGUGGGGAGCGAACAGG